UGGGCACGGGAUUUCCUUUUGGGGUGAUAAAAAUGUUCUGGAAUUGCUAUAAUGGGAUGUCUUGAUUGGAGAAUCACAUAAAAGGAAAAAGAAAUUUAAAAAUUAGAAAAUAAAUACAAAGGAAAAAAAUAUUCUGGAGUUAGAUAAUGGUGAUGUUGGGCAAUACUGUGAAUGCACUAAAUGCCUCUGUGCAACUUAAAAUGGUUAAGUGUUAAAUUUCUUCCUUGUGUUGGAAUGAACUGAGCUAGUAGAAGUAAUACUUACAUGAGCUAAAAGCCGAGGAACACAAACUUGCCUCAAGUGCCCUUUUCUUCUGCAAGUAAGACCAAAUUAAAUGUAGCUCGGGAGCAUUUGUGAAAAUGAGCUUGAAUCGCCUGUGUUCUCAAAAGAAUCUUCAAAAGGAUUCCGAAGUACUUAAGAUGUUCACAACUUCAAAGAUCUUAGAAAUUCUCUUAUUGGGAGUUGUAAGCAAUUAUAGUGAAUCAAAGCAGUAUUUGUGUAAAUAACCAUACAAGUUCUCAAAGAACCCUCUUGUAGCUAGUCAAAUUAAAAUAAGAUGAAUCCAGCCAGUAUUUGUAUAAAUAAGCAGUCUAAUUUAAAGAAGCUCAAUAUUAUAUUUUUUUAAAUAUAUAUUUUUUAAACUAAUACUAUGCGUUUAGUGAAUUAGAAGCCAAAGCUGGCCAGGCAUGGUGGCUCACGUCUGUAGUUACAGCAUUUUGGGAGGCCAAGGCAGGCAGAUCACUUGAAGUCAGGGGUUCAAGACCAGCCUGGCCAAUAUGGUGAAACCCCAUCUCUACUAAGAAUAUUAAUACAAAAAACUAGCUGAACUUGGUGGCAUGUGCCUGCUGUCCCAGCUAGUCAGGAGGCUGAGGCAUGAGAAUUGCUUGAACCAGGGAGGUAGAGGUUGCAGUGAGCUAAGUGAGCUGAGAUCGUGCCACUGCACUCCAGCCUGGGUGAUACAGUGAGACACUCUCUCAAAAAAAAAAAAAAAAAAGAAGAAGCCAAAUCCAAAAAAGGAAAAAAAAAAAAAAAAAAAGAAAGACUUUCUACUCAAUUUAUUGCCGAUUAGAAUACGUUGAUAUUAAUGUAAACUUUAAACAAACCAGGUGAGAAAUAUACUUUCAUCUGACUUUCUUAUUUGUCAGAGCUAUUUAUGAUAUUUGUGAAAAGGAGUUCUGAAUCCCAUAUUGGUUUUUCUUUUUUAACCUCAAUAUAUUCUCACAUUAAAAAAAAAAAAAGAAUCCCAUAUUGUUCUUAAUAAAUUUACAUAUGUAGUCAAAAGCAUUCAAAAUAUGUACUGAUACAUGGAGGAAUUACAGUGACUAAGCAGGAUUUGUGAAAUCAGCUCAGAAUUGUUCUUCAGGGAAUCUUCAAAAAUAUUCCAGAAGUAUUCUAAAGUACUCCAACUCUAACUUCUUCGAACUGCUACUGCUAACUAGAUAACUUGUGAAAAUUUGAGACACAUGUGUGUCCUGGAGCUUUUCUUUUACUUACUCUAGUUAUUCUAAUUAUAUCGAGUUACCUAGUUAGUCUCAGUUAUCUUGUUACCUUUGCUUAUCAAUAGUUCUCACUAGUUAUAUGAACAAGAAAUAAGCUCUAGUUAACAGGAAUGUAUAGUUGAGGUUCUUUGCUUAAUCUUUACCGUUGACUUUGACCUUGGGCAUGAACUUCAACCUUAGACUGUGAGGGUCAAUGUGAGGGUUAGAGACAGGCUCAGGUGAUGGUACCAGAGUGGGUAUCACACAGAUCCAUAUCUGCAUCUUGAGGAGGAUUGGAGUAAGGGUGAGUGUCAGGUUGUGAUUUCGGCUAAAGGUGGGGGCUUAUUCUCUGGAGUCAAAUGGGGACUCAGCAUUGGGAAGGAUACAGUGGACUUUUUAUCUUCUGGAAACAGAAGUAGGUCUGUAGCCUUUAGAGAGAGAGGUGGGUAUAUGGUAGAGACUUAGCCUUUGGAUGGAGAAGUAGAAUCUUAGUCUUUGGUGUAGGAAAUGGGGAGCUUUGGUAUGGGAAGUGGGGAUUUAGCCUCUGAAAUGGGAAAUGGGGGCUUGGCCUCUGAAGCUGAAAAUCUCGACUCAGCUUCCAGAAGGAAAAGCUGGGACAUGGUGGGUGGUUAAGAUCAAAGCCAGUUCCACAAAGAAGGGCUUUUGUGCCAGUCUGGAGGAGCUCCCUCUAGUGGGUGAGGGAAGCAGGACACUUUGAGAUGAAUGCAUUUCUCAGCUUGUUUGCACAUGUAAAGUUUACAAAGCAUUUAAGAAGUGUGUAAGGUUUAAAAUGAAUAAGUUAUUUUGAGCUCGAUUUCACAUAAACUCUUAGAUAUACUCUAAGUUACUGUAAGAAGGUUCUUUUGAGAAUGCUUGAGUCUGCAGUUGUUUUAAUAUCAACUGUUACAUGUGAAUUAUCUCUAAGGACCAUUAAAAGUGUGGUUUAGGCCAGGCGCUGUGGCUAACGCCUGUAAUCCCGGCACUUUGGGAGGCCGAGGCAGGCAGAUCACCUGAGGUUAGGAGUUCAAGACCAGCCUGACCAACAUGGAGAAACCCAGUCUCUACUAAAAAUAAGACAUUACGGUGGCUCACGCCUGUAAUCCCAGCACUUUGGGAGGCCGAGGCGGGUGGAUCACGAGGUCAAGAGAUCAAGACCAUCUUGGUCAACAUGGUGAAACCCUGUCUCUACUAAGAAUACAAAAAAUUAGCUGGGCAUGGUGGCACGUGCCUGUAAUCCUAGCUACUCAGGAGGCUGAGGCAGGAGAAUUGCCUGAACCCAGGAGGCAGAGGUUGCGGUGAGCCGAGAUGGCGCCAUUGCACUCCAGCCUGGGUAACAAGAGCGAAACUCCGUCUCAAAAAAAAAAAAAAAAAAAUUUCUUUGCCAGGCGUGGUGGCUUACGCCUGUAAUCCCAGCACUUUGGGAGGCUGAGGUGGGUGGAUCACCCAAGGUCAGGCGUUCGAGACAAGCCUGACCAACAUGGAGAAACCCCAUCUCUACUAAAAUACAAAAGAAUUAGCCAGGUGUGGUGGUGCAUGCCUGUAAUCCUAGCUACUUGGGAGGCUGAGGCAGGAGAAUCACUUGAACCUGGGAAGCGGAGGUUGCAGUGAGCCGAGAUCACGCCAUUGCACUCCAGCCUGGGCAAUAAGAGUGAAACUCCAUCUUAAAAUAAAUAAAUAAUAAAUAAAUAAAAGUGUGGUUUAAAAUGAAUGAGUAAUUUGGAGCUUGAUUUUACCUAUAAUACUUAGUAUUGACUACAUUGAGUCUAAUUUCACAUAACAAGUUAGAUGAAGGACAUAUUCCUUAAUACUGUUAGAUUUAUCUAAAUUGGUUCUAACUCAUUUUGUUUACUUUCUCAGCACUAGAAGUUUCCUUAGAGGGAAAUCUCUGAUUCUCAGAUUGUUUGCAAACACUCUACUUGUUUGGAAACAUACACUUUUGUUUCAACAUAAUGUACUUUGGAGUUACUGUAGAUGUGAUAUGACACUUUUUAUUUAACCUACUUAAUUUGUUCCAAGUUGCACUUAGAUGAUACUUUUCAGGUAACCAUGUUUCUUUUUUUUUUUGAGAUGGAGUUUCGCUCUUGUCCAGGCUGGAGUGCAAUGGCGUGACCUCUGUCUCCUGGGGUCAAGCAAUCAUCCUGCCCUUCAAGCAGCUGGGGUUACAUGUGUACACCACCACACCUGGCUAAUUUUGUAUUUUUUUUUUUUACUACAGAUGGGGUUUCACCAUGUUGGUCAGGCCUUCCACAAUGCUAGGAUUACAGGCAUGAGCCACCGAGCCCAGCCAAGGUGACUGUGUUUCUGAACUUGUUUGCAUAAGUGCAAUUUACACAGCACUUACAAAGCUCUUAUAAUUUAUUUUAAAUGCAUGCUUUUGAGUUUGUUUUCACAUAGAUGUCAUUUGUCCUAAUUUACCAUAUGAAGUUGAGUUUGGGAAUACUUCUUAGAUUUGUCUUCAUUUUUCCAAACCUACAAAAAGAUCAUUGGAGAUGAGUCUGAGCCAGUUUGUUUGUCUUUCUGAGCUAAUGUGCUCUAGUUCAUAAUAAGUCAAUCUAGCUCAGUUUCAAUUUUAACAUAAACUGCUUAAUUACAUUUAUAUUUACUCCAACUUAUAAUAAAAAGUUACUUUUAAGAUCAAAGUGUAAGAUCAGGCAUGGUGGCUCACGCCAGUAAUCCCAAUAUUUUGGGAGGCUGAAACAGGCAGAUAGCUUGAGCUCAGGAGUUUGAAACUAGCCUGGGCAACAUGGCGAAACCCUAUCUCUACAAAAGGUACAAAAAAAAUUAGCCGGGUAUAGUAGCUUGUGCCUGUGGACCCAGCUACUUGGGAGGCUGAGGUGGGAGGAUUACAUGGGAGGCAGAGGCUGUGGCAGCAGCAUUUGAUUCAGAGCCACUCCAUCUUGAAUAGGGGCUGGGUAAAAUAAGGCUGAGACCCACUGGGCUGCAUUCCCAGGAGGUUAGUCAUUCUAAGUCACAGGAUGAGACAGGAGGUCAGCACAAGAUACAGGUCACAAAGACUUUGCUUAUAAAGCAGGAUGUGGUAAAGAAGCUGGCCAAAACCAAAAUGGUGAUGAAAAUGACCUCUGGUCGUCCUCCUCAUUAUACACUAAUUAUAAUGCAUUAGCAUGCUAAAAGAUUCUCACACCAGUGCCAUGACAGUUUACAGAUGCCAUGGCAAUGUCAGAAAGUUACCCUCUGUGGUCUAAAAGGGGGAGGAACCCUCAGUUCCGGGAAUUUCCCACCCCUUUUCCAGAACACUCAUCAAUAAUCCACCCCUUGUUUAGCACAUAAUCAAGAUAUAACUGUAAGUACACUCAGUUGAGCAGCCCAUACAACUGCUCUGCCUGUGCAGUGGCCAUUCUUUUAUUCCUUAAUUUUCUUAAUAAACUUGCCUUCACAUUAUGGACUCGCAGGGAAUUCUUUCUUUCUCACACACGAUCCAAGAACCCUCUCUUGGAGUGUGGAUGGGACACCUUUCUGGUAAUAGUUGCAGUGGGCUGACAUUGUGUCACUGUACUCCAGCCUGGGUCUAAAAAAAAAAAAACAUUGAAGUGGGUGAUUCUGAGCCUCUUUUAAAAUACUGCUUAGGCCAGGUGGGGCAGCUCAUGCCCAUAAUCCCAGCACUUUGGGAGGCCUAGGCAGGAGGAUCCCUUGAGCCCAGGAGUUCAAGACCAGAAUGGGCAGCAUAGUAAGACCUGUCUCUCUACAAAAUAGAAAAAUUAACUGAGCAUGGUAGCAUGCACCUGUGCUCCUAGCUACCUGGGAGGCUUAGGAUCUGCUUGAGUCAGGGAGCUCGAAGCUGCAGUGAGCCAGGAUCAUACCACUGCUCUCCAGCCUGGGGGACAAAGGGAGACCCUCCCUCAAAGAAAGAGACAGAUAAAUUAUACUGCUUAAAUUCAUCUAAAGUCACUCUCACAAAUUCUUACCCUGGCAGAGAAUGUGUCAUUUUGAGGUUGCUUUCACAUAUACCUACUAGUGUCCACUAGGUAGGUCCCCAGUUCCCAUCGUGAGGCUGGGUUUCGCGUUCUGGUCCCAGGCUGCGCCCUCCCCCCCGCGUCAUGCCAUUGCCUGCCUCUGCGGCAAAUCGCAGGUUUUGCCGCAGUGCCAAGUCCCAACUUGGCCAACAGGGGGCGCCCGACCGAACCUCCAGGACCUAGAAGGGCAGGCUUCCAGGCCCAAUUCCUUGGUUGCGCGCUCACUCCCCUAUGGUAGCUUGGGAAAGUCAGGUUCUGAGGCCACUGAAGCUGAAAGUGGGACUUCGCUUUUGGGCGACAAGUAGGCACUUAGCCUCCGCGAGUUGGCGGGUGGGGAGGGAACGGGGACUCGGCGUCUGGCAGCCUGGGUCGGCGCUAUGGCGACAAAUUGGGACUCAUUCCCCUGAGCUUGAGGUGGGGGGCUUAGCCUCUGGGGGACGGGUGGGGACGCGGCCUCCGGUGGUGUAGACCGUCAGAGUCUCAGAGUGGAAGGCGUGUUAGACCUAGGAUCAAAAAUACCAGAUUCCUUUUCUGGAGUGAAAACUGCGAGAUUGGCCUCUGGAGGAAACCACAGGGCUGAGCCCCUCGGGGAGAGGAGGGGACUAAGCCUCAGGAGCGGGAACCCUCUGGAGAAAGGCCUCCAUUGGGACCUUGGCCUCUGAGCCCCGCGGAAGAUCGGGGGCCAGCGGGCAAGGUGGCUCACGCCUGUGAUCCCAGGACUUUGGGAGGCAGAGGCGAGAGGAUCAGUUGAGACCCAGGCUGGAGUACAGUGACACAAUGUCAGCUCACUGCAACUAUUACCAGAAAGGUGUCCCAUCCACACUCCAAGACAGGGUUCUUGGAUCGUGUGUGAGAAAGAAAGAAUUCCCUGCGAGUCCAUAAUGUGAAGGCAAGUUUAUUAAGAAAAUUAAGGAAUAAAAGAAUGGCCACUGCACAGGCAGAGCAGUUGUAUGGGCUGCUCAACUGAGUGUA